AGGUCUUGUUAAAGAUGAUUUGUUGGUUUGUGAAACUGGGAGCUCUUAACAUCAUGACCAGAGAUUAAAGUUCUCCACAGGAGGUCAUAGUCGUUCAGUCGUGCUGUGACUUCCUGAAGAGAUGAAAGA
rnacentral:snoRNA from 1 species